UGGGGAAUAUUGCACAAUGGAGGGAACUCUGAUGCAGCGACGCCGCGUGAACGAAGAAGGCUUUCGAGUCGUAAAGUUCUUUUAUAUGGGAAGAUAAUGACGGUACCAUAAGAAAAAGCCCCGGCUAACUACGUGCCAGCAGCCGCGGUAAUACGUAGGGGGCUAGCGUUGUCCGGAAUCACUGGGCGUAAAGGGUUCGCAGGCGGAAAUGCAAGUCAGGUGUAAAAGGCAGUAGCUUAACUACUGUAAGCAUUUGAAACUGCAUAUCUUGAGAAGAGUAGAGGUAAGUGGAAUUUUUAGUGUAGCGGUGAAAUGCGUAGAUAUUAAAAAGAAUACCGGUGGCGAAGGCGGCUCACUGGGCUCAUUCUGACGCUGAGGAACGAAAGCGUGGGUAGCAAACAGG
rnacentral:rRNA from 1 species